rnacentral:SRP_RNA from 1 species
GCCGGGCGUGGUGGCGCACGCCUGUAGUCCUAGCUACUCACUCAGGAGGCUGAGGCAGGAGAAUCGCUUGAACCUGGGAGGUAGAGGUUGCAGUGAGCCGAGAUCUCACGACUGCACUCCUGCCUAGGUGACAGAGUGAGACUCUGUCUCAA